rnacentral:tRNA from 1 species
GGCCCUACGGAGUGGUCAGGAACACUCGCCUCCCUGUCACGGAGGAGAACGCGGGUUCAAGUCCCGCUGGGGUCG